CAAAGGUGCCUGCUCUGCAGGAGAAUAGGGAAGCCGAGUGAAAUUCUCGCACGGUCACGCCGCUGUAAUGGACGAAUUGUAUUUCAGUAUGUCACUGGGAUCCUGAUCCCGGGAAGGCGAAGUACAGUGUAAAAGCCUGAGUCAGAAGACCUGCCUUGUACA
rnacentral:ncRNA from 1 species